UACGAAGGGGGCUAGCGUUGCUCGGAAUUACUGGGCGUAAAGGGCGCGUAGGCGGACAGUUUAGUCAGAGGUGAAAGCCCAGGCUCAACCUUGGAAUUGCCUUUGAUACUGACUGUCUUGAGUUCGGGAGAGGUGAGUGGAAUGCCGAGUGUAGAGGUGAAAUUCGUAGAUAUUCGGCGGAACACCAGUGGCGGAAGGCGACUCACUGGCCCGAUACUGACGCUGAGGCGCGAAAGCGUGGGGAGCAAACAGG
rnacentral:rRNA from 1 species